rnacentral:rRNA from 1 species
UACAGAGGUCUCAAGCGUUGUUCGGAUUCAUUGGGCGUAAAGGGUGCGUAGGCGGCGCGGUAAGUCGGGUGUGAAAUCUCGGAGCUUAACUCCGAAACUGCAUUCGAUACUGCCGUGCUUGAGGACUGGAGAGGAGACUGGAAUUUACGGUGUAGCGGUGAAAUGCGUAGAUAACGUAAGGAAGACCAGUGGCGAAGGCGGGUCUCUGGACAGCUCCUGACGCUGAGGCACGAAGGUCAGGGGAGCAAACGGG